rnacentral:rRNA from 1 species
GAUGAACGCUAGCGGCAGGCCUAAUACAUGCAAGCCGAACGGCAAGGUUUUCAGCAAUGGGAACCCUAGAGUGGCGUAAGGGUGCGUAACACGUAUGCAAUCUACCCUUAACAGGCGGAUAGGUCCCCGAAAGGGGAAUUAAGCCGCCAUAGGAAUUUUGGAUGGCAUCAUUUGAAAUUUAAAACUACGGUGGUUAAGGAUGAGCAUGCGCAUGAUUAGUUAGUUGGCGGGGUAACGGCCCACCAAGACUUUGAUCAUUAGGGGGAACUGAGAGGUU